UCCCUGGUGGCUCAGAUGGUUAAGAAUCUGCCUGCAAUGCAGGAGACCUGGGUUCGAGUCCUGGGUUGGGAA
rnacentral:tRNA from 1 species